rnacentral:ncRNA from 1 species
GUGUUGUAUGAAAGGAGAGAAGUUUAGCACUCCCCUUGGCAAGGAUGGAAUAACACAUAUAAGGUUAAGGCACACUUAACCGCAUUUUUUU